UACAGAGGUGGCAAGCGUUGUUCGGAAUUACUGGGCGUAAAGGGCGCGUAGGCGGCCUUCUAAGUCGGACGUGAAAGCCCCAGGCUUAGCCUGGGAACUGCGUCCGAUACUGGGAGGCUUGGAUUCGGGAGAGGGAUGUGGAAUUCCAGGUGUAGCGGUGAAAUGCGUAGAUAUCUGGAGGAACACCGGUGGCGAAGGCGGCAUCCUGGACCGGCAUUGACGCUGAGGAGCGAAAGCCAGGGGAGCAAGCGGG
rnacentral:rRNA from 1 species